GAAAUGCGAUAAGUAAUGUGAAUUGCAGAAUUCAGUGAAUCAUCGAAUCUUUGAACGCAUCUUGCGCUCCUUGGUAUUCCGAGGAGCAUGCCUGUUUGAGUGUCAUUUAAAACUCUCAUACCACAUCUUUUUGAUGUGGCCUUUGGACGUGGGGGCUUUUGCAGGCUUUUUUCUCAAGAGUCUGCUCCCCUGAAAUGCAUCAGUGGUAUCUGGAGCGGAAACCGCUAGGUGUGAUAACAUCAUCUAUGCCUUUGGUAUGCCGUGCAUGUGCUGCUUCCAACGCACAAUUUAUUGACAAACUUGACCUCAAAUCAGGUAGGACUACCCGCUGAACUUAA
rnacentral:misc_RNA from 1 species